AGCCCUUGACAUCCCGGUCGCGGACUCCAGAGACGGAGUUCUUCAGUUCGGCUGGACCGGAGACAGGUGCUGCAUGGCUGUCGUCAGCUCGUGUCGUGAGAUGUUGGGUUAAGUCCCGCAACGAGCGCAACCCCCGUCCUUAGUUGCUACCAUUUAGUUGAGCACUCUAAGGAGACUGCCGGUGAUAAGCCGCGAGGAAGGUGGGGAUGACGUCAAGUCCUCAUGGCCCUUACGGGCU
rnacentral:rRNA from 1 species